rnacentral:miRNA from 1 species
ACGGAUAAAUAUUCCACCGAUA